UCCAGGGUAGCCUAGUGGACAUGGCAUCUGCCCGGUAAGCGGAACACUGUUGGGUUCGAUUUUCAUCCCUGAAC
rnacentral:tRNA from 1 species